UACGUAGGUGGCAAGCGUUGUCCGGAUUUACUGGGCGUAAAGAGCGCGCAGGCGGUCGUUCAAGUCUCGUGUGAAAGCCCCCGGCUCAACUGGGGAGGGUCACGCGAUACUGAUCGACUCGAAGGCAGGAGAGGGUAGUGGAAUUCCCGGUGUAGUGGUGAAAUGCGUAGAUAUCGGGGGGAACACCAGUGGCGAAGGCGACUACCUGGCCUGUUCUUGACGCUGAGGCGCGAAAGCUAGGGGAGCAAACGGG
rnacentral:rRNA from 1 species